rnacentral:rRNA from 1 species
GAGGAACCACAUAUAUAAUUAACAUUACAGAAUGGAUAGUAAUAUUAAUAAUAUAAGGUGGUGGCACAGAAUCGGAGGCCCCGACUGUUUACUAAAAACACAACACAGUGCAAUCAUUAAUAUGAUAGUAUACUGUGUGAAAUUUGCCCGAUGCCAUUAAUAUAAGAGCGGUCAUGGGGAACUGUGACUAAUCGAAAAUCUGGUUAAUAGCGGUCUUAACUAUGAGGAUCCUAAGGUAGCAAAAUCAGUUGGCCAUUAAAUGUGGUCCGGUAUCAAUAAUGUAACGAUGGCCUCACUGUCUCUACAACUUGCUCAGUGAAAUUGAAUUACACGUGCAGAUGCGUGUUACCUCCAGGGGGACGGGAAGACCCUAUGCAGCUUCUA